rnacentral:rRNA from 1 species
GUGGGGAAUCUUCCGCAAUGGACGAAAGUCUGACGGAGCAACGCCGCGUGAGUGAAGAAGGUUUUCGGAUCGUAAAGCUCUGUUGUUUGAGACGAAUGUGUAUAUUAUUAAUACGGAUAUACAAUGACGGUAUUAAACGAGAAAGCCACGGCUAACUACGUGCCAGCAGCCGCGGUAAUACGUAGGGUGCAAGCGUUAAUCGGAAUUACUGGGCGUAAAGCGUGCGCAGGCCGCUUUGUAAGUCGGACGUGAAAGCCCUCGGCUAAACCGGGGAACGGGGUUCGAUACUGCGAGGCUUGAGUCCUGGAGAGGGUGGCGGAAGUCCGGGUGUAGGAGUGAAAUCCGUAGAUAUCCGGAGGAACACCGGUGGCGAAGGCGGCCACCUGGACAGGUACUGACGCUGAGGCGCGAAAGCGUGGGGAGCAAACAGGAUUAGAAACCCCAGUAGUCC